AGCGAACGCUGGCGGCAGGCUUAACACAUGCAAGUCGAGCGGGCACUUUCGGGUGUCAGCGGCGGACGGGUGGGUAACGCGUGGGAACGUGCCCUCUGGUUCGGAAUAACUCAGGGGAACUUGAGCUAAUACCGGAUACGCCCUUUGGGGGAAAGGCUUGCUGCCGGGGGAUCGGCCCGCGUCUGAUUGGCGAGUGGGUGAGGUACCGGCUCACCAAGGCGACGAGCGGGAGCUGGUCUGAGAGGCUGAUCAGCCACACUGGGACUGAGACACGGCCCGGACUCGUACGGGAGGCAGCAGUGGGGAAUAUUGGACAAUGGGCGCAAGCCUGAUCCAGCCAUGCCGCGUGAGUGAUGCAGGCCUUAGGGUUGUACAGCUCUUUUAUCCGGGACGAUAAUGACGGUACCGGAGGAAUAAGCCCCGGCUAACUUCGUG
rnacentral:rRNA from 1 species